rnacentral:rRNA from 1 species
AACGAACGCUGGCGGCAUGCCUAACACAUGCAAGUCGAACGAGACAUUCGGGUCUAGUGGCGCACGGGUGCGUAACCGGUUGGAACCUGCCCUUGGGUUCGGAAUGACGUCCCGGAAGGGGUGCGAAUACCGGAGAAUGUCUUGCGACCAAAGAUGUAUUGACUUUGGAUGGGCGCGAGUUGGAUCAGCUAGUUGGUAGGGUAAACGCCUCUCACGGCGACGAUCCAUAGAUGGGCAGAGAGGAGGAGCCCCCACACUGGGACUGAGACACGGCCCGGAAUCUUGCGGAAGGGAGCAGUGGGGAAUAUAGGACAACGGGCGAAAGCCUGAUCCAGCAAUGCCGGGUGAGUGAUUAAGGCUUGAGGGUAGUAAAGCAAGUUUAACCGGGAUGAUAAUGACGGUACCGGGAGAAUAAGCACCGGCUAACUCCGUG